AUGCUCACUCCAGCAGCACAUGUGCUAAAAUUGGAACAAUACAGAGAAGAUCAGCGCAGCCCUGCACAAGGGUGACACGCACAUUCAGGAUGAAUUCUAUAUUUUU
ensembl:snRNA U6 U6 spliceosomal RNA